GGAUGCAGCUGGCCACAACUUUCCCAAAACAAUGAAAGCUUUGGGACCGAGAGAUGGAUGUUGUGUUGCUUUUCAAAGGCUUCUUUGAUGGUCUUUUCAGCAAACAAGAAGAUGCUGAGAGCUGUGAGCACAACGAUGCUGUAGGACUGGAAGUGCAGCAGAAAUUGUCUUUCUCUUCUGUGCUGCCUCUUCAUCAGCUUCUGCUCAGGAGCGGAGGGAAGCAGAAUGUGGCUCUUCAACAGUGGGCAAAGCUCUGCAGGCCAGUGAAGAAAAUGGCAAAGAAGAAGUCUGUGGGGAUUGUUUGUGGGGGAUAAAUGGGGACGAGUCCCAGAGAAUAACCUGGAAGCUGUCCUCUAUUUGUUUUCAAUCUGCUGACUUCCCAAACCAAUGUAGCCACUCAUCCAUGAAGCUAAACAGACUUUGCUAACGCUUUAUUUCUAGCAGAGCUGAGGGAAGGUUUUUUUUAAUCAGUGUGUAAUGGCUGCCUGGUACAUAAGUGCUUUCUGACAUCUCUGCAUUCCACGUGGAAAGGUGUAUGAGAUCUAAACUAAACCCGUUGCCUUAAAUGGAGAAAAUCCUGAUUUCUCCAGUAUUUGUAAAACAAAAGUUAAACUCGGUAUUGUGACGGGAUACAAUCGGUGGUACUACCUGGAACUGGGAGGCAGCCCGCUGUGUGAGUUCGCAGACUGCAUUUUCCCCAUUCACAGAAGCAGGGAAGGAGAACUGUAAUUAAGAGUAACCUUCAGCUUAGGCAGACUGCUUAAAAUUGGAAACCUCCAGGAUUAUUAAUUUUACUGAUUUUUAUAUGGAUGUGAAUUAACCGUGUAAUUUCUUUUCUCUGUGUGUAUUUUCUAAAAUAAGUGAAAGAUAAGGCACUGUGUUCAUCUUGCUCAUGAUCCUUUUUUUUUUUCCCCUUCCAACCCAUGCAGACUGUCCUUCUCCCAUGGAGCACUCCCUGUUUGUUGAUGCAGCUCAGUUCUUAAUGCCACGGUAGUGAGGUUGAUGCAGGAACUAAAUGCUGAGCAUUAGUACAAAAUAAUGUAAAUAUGUUGGUUCUGCACGAGCAGUUUGCCACAUUAAGUAAACAUUCUUGGGAAUUAUUCAAGAGAAGGUGGAAUAUAUAUAUAUAUUUUUCCAAAUAUAUUUGCAUAAUGCAGCAAAUUUCUCAGCUUUUGUGCACCAGUGAAUGUAGAUGGGGUAUUCAUUUAAGAAGUUUACAGUUCUGCAGCCAGUCUAAUGUCUGCU
ensembl:lncRNA